rnacentral:rRNA from 1 species
CUCCAAGAAAAGCGAUGAUCAUGUUGAAAAUCAAUUCCCGGUACCCGAAACCGACACAGGUGGGCAAGUAGAGAAUACUAAGGGGCGCGAGGUAACUCUCUCCAAGGAACUCGGCAAAAUGACCCCGUAACUUAGGGAGAAGGGGUGCCACCGAGAGGUGGUCGCAGUGAAGAGGCCCAGGCGACUGUUUAGCAAAAACAUAGGUCUCUGCAAACUCGAAAGAGGAGGUAUAGGGGCUGACGCCUGCCCAGUGCCGGAAGGUUAAAGAAGUUGGUCAGUUUUAGGAUGAAGCUAGCGACUGAAGCCCCGGUGAACGGCGGCCGUAACUAUAACGGUCCUAAGGUAGCGAAAUUCCUUGUCGGGUAAGUUCCGACCCGCACGAAAGGCGUAACGAUCUGGGCGCUGUCUCGGAGAGAGGCUCGGCGAAAUAGGAUUGUCUGUGAAGAUACGGACUACCUGCAUUUGGACAGAAAGACCCUAUGAAGCUUUACUAUAGCUUGGAAUUGUGUUCGGGCUUCCUGUGCGCAGGAUAGGUGGGAGGCGUAGAAGGUAUUCUUGUGGGGAUACUGGAGCCAACGGUGAGAUACCACUCUCAGGAGGCUAGAAUUCUAACUUAAUUAAGGACAGUUUCAGGUGGGUAGUUUGACUGGGGCGGUCGCCUCCAAAAAGGUAACGGAGGCGUACAAAGGUUCCCUCAGACUGGUUGGAAAUCAGUCGAAGAGUGCAAAGGCAGAAGGGAGCUUGACUGCGAGAAGUACAGUUCGAGCAGGGUGGAAACACGGUCUUAGUGAUCCGACGGUGCUGUGUGGAAGGGCCGUCGCUCAACGGAUAAAAGUUACUCUAGGAUAACAGGCUGAUCUCCCCCAAGAGUUCACAUCGACGGGGAGGUUUGGCACCUCGAUGUCGGCUCAUCGCAACCUGGGGCGGAAGUACGUCCCAAGGGUUGGGCUGUUCGCCCAUUAAAGCGGUACGUGAGCUGGGUUCAGAACGUCGUGAGACAGUUCGGUCCAUAUCCGAUGUAGGCGUGAGAAUAUUGAGAGGAGCCUUCCUUAGUACGAGAGGACCGGGAAGGACGCACCGCUGGUGUACCUGUUAUGAUGCCAAUUGUAAACGCAGGGUAGCCAAGUGCGGAGAGGAUAACCGCUGAAAGCAUCUAAGUGGGAAGCCCACCUCAAGAUGAGUAUUCUGGUGUAAGGUCACGGGAAGACGACCCGUAAAUAGGCACGAGGUGGAAGUGCAGAGAUGUAUGAAGCCGAAGUGUACUAAUAGACCGUCGGCUUGACC